rnacentral:rRNA from 1 species
GUGGGGAAUCUUAGACAAUGGGGGAAACCCUGAUCUAGCCAUGCCGCGUGAUCGAUGAAUGCCUUAGGGUUGUAAAGAUCUUUCAGGUGGGAAGAUAAUGACUGUACCACCAGAAGAAGCCCCGGCUAACUCCGUGCCAGCAGCCGCGGUAAUACGGAGGGGGCUAGCGUUGUUCGGAAUUACUGGGCGUAAAGCGCACGUAGGCGGAUUGGAAAGUUGGGGGUGAAAUCCCGGGGCUCAACCCCGGAACUGCCUUUGGAACUCCCAGUCUUGAGUUCGAGAGAGGUGAGUGGAAUUCCGAGUGUAGAGGUGAAAUUCGUAGAUAUUCGGAGGAACACCAGUGGCGAAGGCGGCUCACUGGCUCGAUACUGACGCUGAGGUGCGAAAGCGUGGGGAGCAAACAGGAUUAGAAACCCCAGUAGUCC